rnacentral:rRNA from 1 species
UACGUAGGGUGUGAGCGUUAAUCGGAAUUACUGGGCGUAAAGGGUGCGCAGGCGGCGUCGCAAGUCAGGCGUGAAAUCCCCGGGCUUAACCCGGAAAGGUCAGCCGAUACUGCGGGGCUAGAGUGCAGAAGGGGCAACUGGAAUUCUCGGUGUAGCGGUGAAAUGCGUAGAUAUCGAGAGGAACACCUGCGGCGAAGGCGGGUUGCUGGGCUGACACUGACGCUGACAGCGCGAAAGCUAGGGGAGCGAACGGG